rnacentral:rRNA from 1 species
GAUGAACGCUGGCGGCGUGCCUAAUACAUGCAAGUCGAGCGAACAGACGAGGAGCUUGCUCCUCUGACGUUAGCGGCGGACGGGUGAGUAACACGUGGAUAACCUACCUAUAAGACUGGGAUAACUUCGGGAAACCGGAGCUAAUACCGGAUAAUAUAUUGAACCGCAUGGUUCAAUAGUGAAAGACGGUUUUGCUGUCACUUAUAGAUGGAUCCGCGCCGCAUUAGCUAGUUGGUAAGGUAACGGCUUACCAAGGCAACGAUGCGUAGCCGACCUGAGAGGGUGAUCGGCCACACUGGAACUGGGACGCGUUCCAGACUCCUACGGGAGGCAGCAGUGGUGAAUCUGCCGCAGUGGGCGAAAGCCUGACGGAGCAACGCCGCGUGAGUGAUGAAGGUCUUCGGAUCGUAAAACUCUGUUAUUAGGGAAGAACAAAUGUGUAAGUAACAAUGCACGUCUUGACGGUACCUAAUCAGAAGGCCACGGCUAACUACGU